UACCAGCUCUCCGAGUGGUAGGGAUGAUUACUGGGCCUAAAGCAUCCGUAGCUUGCUAAGCAAGUCCCCUGUUAAAUCCACCGAUCUAAUCGUUGGAUUGCGGGGGAUACUGUUUGGCUAGGGGACGGGAGAGGCCGACGGUAUUUCCGGGGUAGGGGUGAAAUCCUAUAAUCCCGGGAAGACCACCAGUGGCGAAGGCUGUCGGCUAGAACGCGCCCGACGGUGAGGGAUGAAAGCUGGGGGGAGCGAACCGGAUUAGAUACCCGGGUAGUCCCAGCUGUAAACGAUGCAGGCUAGGUGUUUGGGCGGCCAAGAGCCGCUCUAGUGCCGCAGGGAAGCUGUUAAGCCUGCCGCCUGGGGAGUACGGCCGCAAGGCUGAAACUUAAGGAAUUGGCGGGGGAGCACCACGAAGGGGUGAAGCUUGCGGUUU
rnacentral:rRNA from 1 species